AGAGUUUGAUCCUGGCUCAGGAUGAACGCUGGCUGUGUGCCUAAUACAUGCAUGUCGAGCGGAGUAUUAAUUUAUUAGUGCUUAGCGGCAAAUGGGUGAGUAACACGUAUUUAACCUACCUCAAAGACUGGGAUAACAACAGGAAACUGUUGCUAAUACCGGAUAUGUAUUUAGAUCGCAUGAUUUAGAUAUCAAAGGAGCGUUUGCUUCACUUUGAAAUGGGAGUGCGUUACAUUAGCUAGUUGGUAGGGUAAUGGCCUACCAAGGCGAUGAUGUAUAGCUGAGUUGAGAGACUGAACAGCCACACUGGGACUGAGAUACGGCCCAGACUCCUACGGGAGGCAGCAGUAGGGAAUUUUCCACAAUGGACGAAAGUCUGAUGGAGUGACACAGCGUGCAGGAUGAAGGUCUUCGGAUUGUAAACUGCUGUUAUAAGGGAAGAAAAGCUUAGGGAGGAAAUGCCCUAAGUAUGACGGUACCUUGUCAGAAAGCACCGGCUAACUAUGUGCCAGCAGCUGCGGUAAUACAUAGGGUGCAAGCGUUAUCCGAAAUUAUUGGGUGUAAAGAGUUCGUAGGUUGUUUGUUAAGUCAGAAGUUAAAUCCCGGGGCUCAACCCUGGCCCGCUUUUGAUACUAGCAAACUAGAGUUAUAAAGAGGUUAGUGGAAUUCCUAGUGAAGCGGUGAAAUGUGUAGAUAUUAGGAAGAACAUCAAUGGCGAAGGCAGCUAACUGGUUAUGUACUGACACUGAGGAACGAAAGCGUGGGGAGCAAACAGGAUUAGAUACCCUGGUAGUCCACGCCGUAAACGAUGAUCAUUAGCUGGUGGAAUUUUUCACUAGCGCAGCUAACGCAUUAAAUGAUCCACCUGAGUAGUAUGCUCGCAAGAGUGAAACUUAAAGGAAUUGACGGGGACCCGCACAAGCGGUGGAGCAUGU
rnacentral:rRNA from 1 species